AUGAGGAGUUGGGAUAGUUUUGUUGUCUUGCUUAUGAAAUGCAAGUGCAAUGUUCAUAGAAAGGAUAAACUUCAAUUAACAUAUAGCUAUUUACGAGAAAGUAGUUCUGUUGGGAUUGUAUGUAGCGUUUUCAUGGAUUCCAGCAACGGAUCCAAAUGUUUCUCCUUUCAAUAUAAUUUGUGUUUUGAUAUUAUUUUCCCUUGUUUAGAUAUGAAUGUGAGUACAAUCAUGAUGAUGUUUUCACGUUUUGAGAUAUUGAGCAGACAUGAAUAG